GCAGUUUCUGAUUUCAAUUUCAAUCUGUCGGAAAUCGCGCUUUUUUAUUCGUAAUUAAAUUUUAAAAUCAGUGACAAAGUGUUGUGCAUCGAACCUGAUCAUCCUCUGCGACAGGUGAAGCAAAGGAUACAACCCUUACAAGCAAAGAGCGAAUAGGAUCGGACAGAAAUAACACAAUCACACGUCAAGUAAUGUCCAGGAGUAUCAGGUCGUUGGUGGGGCACAACAAGGUUGGUCCGAGUCCUUCCUCGUCGAGAUCAUUCUAGUAGGCGGUACCAAUGUGGCCAGGCCUACUUCUCUUCCAACUCGAACCUAACAAUGUGUUUAUACACGAGUCUCAAACUUUUACUUGGAUAAAAAGAACGAAGAAAGAAAUAGAAACGACGAAAUUAUGGACAAGUUCUUCGCAUCCCCAAGAAUUAUUGCUUGUCUGCACCGGCGGAAGCAGCUGCAUCCUAAAUCUGCAUUUUCGACAGGUGUUGCGUUGAUUACGUUACAUCGAAGAUUUCAUUGAAGGUACAUCUUUUAAAAUGUUGACCGUUGACGUAGUAAUGAUAGGCUUUUUGAUUGUCGAAAAAUUGUACUACCUCAGGCACUCGUUUCGAAUAUAGUCUUUCACACUUUUUAAAAACCAACUCUUAUACUUUUCUGAUAUUUUAUAA